GCCACGGCUCUGGGGUAGAGUAUCUGUUUCACAUGCAGAAGGAUCCAGGUUCAAUCCCUGGCCCCUCCAGUUAAAAGCA
rnacentral:tRNA from 1 species